rnacentral:lncRNA from 1 species
CGCCCCCCUCCCUCGCUCCGGCGAGGGAAGAGCGGGGCGGCGCCCGCGCGCUACGUGGUGGAACCCGCCCGGCGGGCGCAACAGGAGGCCCGCCCGCGGGGACAGCGCGGCCCGCCGCGUCACGUGAUGCGCCCUGCCAACAGGUCGCCCGAGGCAGGGCCCGCGUGUCAUAGGGGCGGGGGGAGGGGCGGCCCGCGGCGCCCCUCUUUCACUCCAAGGCGAGGACUUCCUAGUGUCUGAGGCUGAGGCCGUCGGCUUGACAAAGAGGUGCACAGAAAAUUUGAGUAUAAAAUACUGGUUUCCUGCCCUUUCCGUCGACUCAGAGUCCAGAGUCCUCAUCCAGUGGCUGAUGGAAGCAGAAACAGACAUCCACAGAAAUACACUGAGCUGAAAUCUGGAACUUAGUUGAAGAGAGGGAGGAAUGAAGAACAAAGGGGUAGGUUUCAGCUCCAAGUCUGAUUCCUGAUUUCAGUAGCGGCACAAGGAACAAGAUACCACAGUCUCAGACCUGCAUAAGGACAAGGGCACACCCUUUUGUGAGCCUCUCUUCUCUAUUGAAAGCUGGAAGCUCAGCAGCAGGUGCAGAAAGCCUAAGUGAAAACUUAUCAGGGCCCUGUACAGUCUCCAGUCUGAACGGAGCUCCUCCAGGAGAGUUUUCCAUUCUGCAGCUGCGAAGUGGGGCUAGAGACUUCUGCCCUUGGAGGGCAGGGAUGCUGAGGAGUCAGACCUGGGAGACCUUUCACCUUGAGGGCUCAGUGACUAGAAAAACACUUCAGAAGCCAACAGUUUCACAUUCUCCAGUGAACCAUGGAGCAGACUGUGGUUGGCUGGACAUCAGGCCAAAGCCAUGAACUGUGAGAGGGCUCUCCAUCUGGUCCCAGGAAACGGAGUGCUGAUUCACAUGCUGGAAGACACAGCUUCCAGUCAGGAAAAAGAGCUUGGCUCUCUUUUUGUGUGUCCCAUCCAAUAUGCAGAUUGGACUGUCCAAGGCUUCACAGGUGAGCAGUGGAG